CAGAGAAUAGUUUAAUGAAAAUGCCAGCUUUGGGAGUUGGAGAUAGAGGUUUAAGUCCUUUUUUUCUGA